rnacentral:misc_RNA from 1 species
GAGAAGAACGUAGCAAAAUGCGAUAAGUAAUGUGAAUUGCAGAAUUCAGUGAAUCAUCGAAUCUUUGAACGCACAUUGCGCCCGCUGGUAUUCCGGCGGGCAUGCCUGUUCGAGCGUCAUUUCAACCCUCAAGCCCCCGGGUUUGGUGUUGGGGAUCGGCUCUGCCCUUCUGGGCGGUGCCGCCCCCGAAAUACAUUGGCGGUCUCGCUGCAGCCUCCAUUGCGUAGUAGCUAACACCUCGCAACUGGAACGCGGCGCGGCCAUGCCGUAAAACCCCAACUUCUGAAUGUUGACCUCGGAUCAGGUAGGAAUACCCGCUGAACUUAAGCAUAUCAAUAAGCGGAGGA